GGUCGCUUAGUCUAGUGGUUAAUGACACCGGCGAAGUCAGCAGGAGGUCCCAGGUUCGAAUCCUGGAGCAACCA